AUAAUAAAAUAUUUUGAUACAAUAUAAAACACGGUUUAAAAUAAUGUAAAAAUAUGUUCAUUAAACUGUCAAAAUAUUUAAAAAAACUUAUUGUUAACAAACUUUACAUUUGAAGAUAAUCAAAUAACAAAUUUUCGGUGCCGUGUGCGAAUAGCGUCUGUCGCGGUCACCCAUCCAAGUUAAAACACGCUCUCGACAGUCUCGACGUUGCUAGACCUCGUUGAUCAGAUAGGUUAGCUGUCGUCCUCUGGCUCUGGCGUUUAUACACGUAGUACGUAAUAAGGAAACACGUCUUUAUAAUGUUUAAGAAAUAUUGAAAUGAAAUUUAGGUUGCGUAUGUAUGGAGUGUCUAGUGUGUGUGGAGUAUGUGGUAUUUGUGCACUCAUACUCACAGAAAUAUUGUAAAUGCAAUUUUAUAAAAAGCAUGAUACAGGCGAAAACAUUUGUGAAAUGUUUCAGUUGCAUACACGUCAGUACGACGGGGUGCCUAUUCGAGCAGGCAACCCAUCGUCCUGACAUGUAUGUUACUGUAACAACCUGUAGGGGAACCCGGGGCAUAACGGAACGGCGGGGCAUAAUGGGAUAUGAUCUAUAACUUUUUACAGAAGUGCUGUUAUGUAUUGAAAUAUUUUGCAAUUAUUGCUAUUAGAUGAUCCUUAUCGCAUGCUGUUAUCAGUUGUCAUGUUAUUUUUAACUGAAAAAUGCUAUAAAUUUUUUAAUGCGUUCGCUGCACUCUCCGUGACUCGCUUAUAAUUUCGUUGAUAGAUCAGCAUGAGGUAACAAUGAUAAAAUUCUAUUUUUUAUUACCAUAAGUAAUUUUACGCUAUAAAACAAUCUCUUCUAGUCACUUUAGUAAAGUAUUUCUGCACAGAUAUUGAUUAUCAAUGAUAUU